rnacentral:snRNA from 1 species
UGAUGAGUCUACAAUAUACUAAAAAUAUUAGAUACAGAAAAGAUUAGCAAGACCCCUACGCAAGGAAGAAUGUAUCAUGAAUCGAAAAUAAAUAUAUCUUU